UUUCAUAAUAAAUCUUGGUGAUAUGCUAGAGCAAUGGAGCAAUUGUAUUUUCAGGCAACUCUAUAUUGUUAACCUGUCCAAAACUCCACCAGAAUUUCCUCUGUUGCGCCCUCUUGGCUCUUUCUAAUAUCAGUGGCCCGUUAGUAGCGACGGUUGGUGUCCCUGCUCAAACAAGUCUUCGAUUCUCCUGCCUUUUUCUGCUAUGUUUAGUUCGAUUUCCGGUACAUGAAACCGAGGAAACCAAAAUUUUUCGAGUCGAGAGGGACACUGAUGGAUGAAUCCAAUCCGUUGGCCUCUAGGCAUGCUUGGAUGCUGGCUUUUUCUACGUGAUCAAUCAUGGAGUCAACCCGGACUUGAUGGAGGAGGUGUUCGUCCAGAGCAGGCAGUUCUUUGGUCUGCCUUUGAGAGAGAAAACGAAGCUGCUGAGGAACAAGAAGCACCGAGGCUACACUCCUCUGUUCGAUCAGGUCCUCCACCCUGCAAAUCAGAUAAACAGUUUGUGUCUGAUCAUCCUGCUGAAGAUUUUACUGCUUAAAGUGGACAUGGAUGAAUAGCUGGUGAUUUUGAUGGCUGUAAUCAGGAGAUUAUAAGGAGGGAUACUACUUACGAGUGGAAGUACCAGAGGACGAUCCUCGUGCGUAGUAGCCUCAUUUUGGACUGAACCCCAGGCCUUCUGAGGGUAAACUGCUGUUUAAUGUAAUUUCUGUCCAACUUAAAUCAGUUGUUGAUUGUGGAUGUUUAUUUUGGUUUCAUUGUAGUAUUUUGAGUAGAAAUAUUGCCAAGAUGGAGGCAGGCGAUGGAAAAUUUCGUUGUCAAGCAUCGUGAGUCUUUACUAUAGAUGAUGAUAUAGAGCCAUAGGCAUUAAUUUUUCUUGCUAGUUCCCGGAUGUAAAUUUUAUUCCAUCCAAGUAAAAGAUAAUACAUAGAUCUUCUGUUUCUCUGAUGGGGUAUUUUGGGCAUUUUCAGUACCCGAUAGUCACUAUCGCCCCCUUCUAUAUGCAUCAGACAUUGCCAAAUUCCUGUAUUUUUGAAGGUGGCCCAAUGGGAGUUAAAUUGCCUCUGCCUUUUGAACUGAAUAUGCUCUCUUGGGCUCUUAUCCUACGUUGGCCAAAGUGAAACUCUUCUGGUUAUUUGUAGCGGCUGAUUAAACAAUUUUCUGGGGUAUUGUUCCAAAGCUGCUAUGCUACAAUAUGAACCAGUUAUUUUUAGCUGUCAAGAUUUAUCAUUAAUCACACUGACCAAGAGCCUCAACGCAAGGGUCUAAUUGCUUAC